UCGAAGAGAAUUCAUUCUUCUUCUUCUUCUUCUUCUUCUUCCUAUGCUGUCUUCUUUCUUUCUUUCUGUCGACUUCAAUCUCAGAGAUUUGAGGUUCUUUUGUGUGAGGGAUUCAUGAAAGCUUUGUAUAUUGAUGAAUCAAAUAAGAUGGUGCUACAGAUAAAGUUGUUUGAGCACCGAGUGAAGCAAAAGUAAUGCUGUUGUGAAAUCGAUCGUUAGAGUUUAAUUUUGGAAGGAAGAAUCAAGAGAAGUAGAGUGAUAUCGAGGAGUGGAGGAUGGUGGUGAUGAUGAUUCAAGUAGUUGAUUCAGAUUUGCAAGAAAAGGUCCAGAAUUUGAUAGAAUACCGCUCCUUAAUCAAGCGAAUAGCAAUGGACAACGUAGCAUGGAUCCUGAUAACUUGGGAAUUGGCGGCUAGGUUUGAGAUGAGGGUAACUAACUCGACUGUUCAUUUUUUCCGUAUGCUAGAAGGUUUGUCUUCUACAACAAAAUACAACUUUGUAUUUGCCUCUUGACCCCUUAAUUACAGCCUUUAAUUGUAAGAUUUUUUGGGCUCUAUUGCAUGAAAUGAUUUACACCUUCAUUAAUAUUUCAGUGAUGCAAUGUUGGUGACAGUUGCCUAUUUGUUGCAUUUUCUUAUUGUAGGAUAAAUUCCAUGUGCUUUUAAUGAUGUUACUGCCAUGUUCUGUCAUCUACACCUAUCUAUGCCGCAUGAACACAAACUUAAGAGCAUGUGUUUUUUGUUAGAAUUGUUAAGCUAAUUAGUUAAACAUGGUGAAUACUUAAGAGCAUGUGUUUUUUGUGUCUGUCACGUCUGUAUGCCAUUGUUAUUUGGUACCCACCUGGAGUAUUCAUCUUUCCUGCAGUCUGAGGCUGAUUUGCUUAGUAAAUAUCUUCGUGAUAACAACGUUUCUGCAAAGGUGUGUAUUUUGCUAUCCUAGAUCUUGCUAAUCAAGUUGAUUGCAAGUUCUUACUCUACAUAUGUAGAAUUUGCUUACUUAACAAUAACAUGUAUAUGUUGAUUGUUGCUCUGUAGAGCUACCAUAGCGGUAUCCUAGCAAAAGAUAGAAGUCGAACUCGAGAGUUAUUUUGUCGAAUAAGAUAAGAGUGGAUGCAGUCAUGGCCUUUCAGAAGUAUUUACUGUUGUUCUCGUUUCUUUUUUUUUUUCUUCCCGUAUUUGAAGGUUGUUGCUACUGUUAUAUUUGGUAUGUGGCUGAGUAAGAGUGACGCUGGAGCGAUGUGGUCACUGCAAAAGCCUUGCUAUCACAAGUAUAUCUAUGAAAAGGUUGCAUCAGUAUAUAAACCUGGAAGGCGCUAUCUCCAUUUUUUUGUAAAUGAUGCAGCAUUUAUAAUUUGAUGUCAUAUGCUAGUCAAUGAGAACUUUGCAUGAGAAGGUACUUCAACUGUAAGAGUUUCUUUUUAUUUAAAACAUUUGAUAAAAUUCCCUUGGUGUGAAAUUGAGUUUACAGCAAGUUAUGUUGUAUGUGUGAUUCUUUUAAUGGAUUUCUUACUUUGUUGUGUGUA